AUUGAACGCUGGCGGCAGGCCUAACACAUGCAAGUCGAAUGGUAACAGGAAACAGCUUGCUGUUUCGCUGACGAGUGGCGGACGGGUGAGUAAUGUCUGGGAAACUGCCUGAUGGAGGGGGAUAACUACUGGAAACGGUAGCUAAUACCGCAUAACGUCGCAAGCCCAAAGAGGGGGACCUUCGGGCCUCUUGCCAUCAGAUGUGCCCAGAUGGGAUUAGCUAGUAGGUGGGGUAACGGCUCACCUAGGCGACGAUCCCUAGCUGGUCUGAGAGGAUGACCAGCCACACUGGAACUGAGACACGGUCCAGACUCCUAAGGGAGGCAGCAGUGGGGAAUAUUGCACAAUGGGCGCAAGCCUGAUGCAGCCAUGCCGCGUGUAUGAAGAAGGCCUUCGGGUUGUAAAGUACUUUCAGCGGGGAGGAAGGGAGUAAAGUUAAUACCUUUGCUCAUUGACGUUACCCGCAGAAGAAGCACCGGCUAACUCCGUG
rnacentral:rRNA from 1 species